rfam:Triticum aestivum genome assembly, contig: Triticum_aestivum_CS42_TGACv1_scaffold_392916_5AS
AAGAUACUACCUCUGUCUGGAAUUAGUUCUCGCUGAAAUGGAUGUAUCUAGACAUAUUUCAGAGCUAGAUACAUCCGUUUGAGUGACAAGUAAUUCCGGACGGAGGGAGUAAUUG